rnacentral:rRNA from 1 species
UUGAACGCUGGCGGCAUGCUUUACACAUGCAAGUCGAACGGUAGACCCUUUCGGGGGUUGAGAGUGGCGAACGGGUGAGUAAUGCAUCGGAACAUACCCAGUCGUGGGGGAUAACGUAGCGAAAGUUACGCUAAUACCGCAUGAGUCCUGAGGGAGAAAGUGGGGGAUCGCAAGACCUCAUGCUCAUGGAGCGGCCGAUAUCUGAUUAGCUAGUUGGUGGGGUAAAAGCCUACCAAGGCAUCGAUCAGUAGCUGGUCUGAGAGGACGACCAGCCACACUGGAACUGAGACACGGUCCAGACUCCUACGGGAGGCAGCAGUGGGGAAUUUUGGACAAUGGGCGCAAGCCUGAUCCAGCAAUGCCGCGUGAGUGAAGAAGGCCUUCGGGUUGUAAAGCUCUUUUGUCAGGGAAGAAACGGUGAGGGCUAAUAUCCUUUGCUAAUGACGGUACCUGAAGAAUAAGCACCGGCUAACUACGU